CAAACCAAUACGCCGAAACUUCCUCACGAAUGGAAGUGCGGGGGAUCUUUUUCGCGGAUCAACAAAAUCCGCUAUGGGGUGAAUCGCUCGAAGGAGCGUAGGGUUGUUUCCUCAACCCGAAUCCGACAACUAACCUCGUAGGCCAAAAAAAGGAGACGA
rnacentral:sRNA from 1 species